UACGGAGGGUGCAAGCGUUAAUCGGAAUUACUGGCGUAAAGCGUGCGCAGGCGGUUUGUUAAGUCUGUUUGUGAAAUCCCCGAGCUCAAACUUGGGAAUUGCAAUGGAUACUGGCAGGCUGGAGUAUGGUAGAGGAAGGUGGGAAUUCCCGGUGUAGCAGUGAAAAUGCGUAGAGAUCGGGAGGAACACCAGUGGCGAAGGCGGCCGACUGGGCCGACCCUGGACCGCUGAGGCGCGGAAGGCGUGGGGA
rnacentral:rRNA from 1 species